CAGCAGCCACGGUAAAACAGAGGGUGCAAGCGUUAAUCGGAAUUACUGGGCGUAAAGCGCGCGUAGGUGGUUUGUUAAGUUGGAUGUGAAGUCCCCGGGCUCAACCUGGGAACUGCAUCCAAAACUGGCAAGCUAGAGUAUGGUAGAGGGUGGUGGAAUUUCCUGUGUAGCGGUGAAAUGCGUAGAUAUAGGAAGGAACACCAGUGGCGAAGGCGACCACCUGGACUGAUACUGACACUGAGGUGCGAAAGCGUGGGGAGCAAACAGGAUUAGAUACCCCUGUAGUCCCUGUCUCUUAUAC
rnacentral:rRNA from 1 species